rnacentral:sRNA from 1 species
CAGAAAUCUGUUCUGACAUUAAAAGGAAAUGAGUGAGAACAUUUGUGCAGACCAUAUUUUACAUCCUUCCACGCCUUUCAGGCCUUAUUGAAGAUGAAUGGAUCACCAUUGAUAAAUUUACCAGAUUCACUGAUGUUCCUUUAGCUGCGGGAUUUCAGUGGUACCUUUCUCAAACUCAACUUAGUAAACUAAAACCAGGUGACUGGUCUCAGCAAGACAUAGGUAAAAAAUAAUUUUCAUUUUAUUUUUUCCCCUUGUUGAUCUGGUUAGUUUUUUUGAUUUAAGUUACUAAGGACAGGUAGUUAAUAAUAAUAUCACUUUCAUUGACAUGGUGAACUCUGCCUUUCCACUUAGGGAAAAGACAGUGAAAAAGUGUGGUAUAACUUUGACUAACACUUUUAGUGAAACUUAGCUUUAAAGCUAUU